UACAGAGGUGGCAAGCGUUGUUCGGAAUUACUGGGCGUAAAGGGCGCGUAGGCGGGAUGGCAAGUCGGUCGUGAAAUCCUUCGGCUCAACCGAAGAACGUCGGCCGAUACUGCCGUUCUUGAGGGAUGCAGAGGAGAUUGGAAUUCCCGGUGUAGCGGUGAAAUGUGUAGAGAUCGGGAGGAACACCGGUGGCGAAGGCGGGUCUCUGGGCAUCUCCUGACGCUGAGGCGCGAAAGCGUGGGGAGCAACGGGG
rnacentral:rRNA from 1 species